AUUGAACGCUGGCGGCAGGCCUAACACAUGCAAGUCGAGCGGAGCGGCGGACGGGCGAGUAAUGCCUAGGAAUCUGCCUGGUAGUGGGGGAUAACGUCCGGAAACGGGCGCUAAUACCGCAUACUAUCAGAUGAGCCUAGGUCGGAUUAGCUAGUUGGUGGGGUAAAGGCCUACCAAGGCGACGAUCCGUAACUGGGCUGAGAGGAUGAUCAGUCAAACUGGGACUGAGACACGGUCCAGACUCCUACGGGAGGCAGCAGUGGGGAAUAUUGGACAAUGGGCGAAAGCCUGAUCCAGCCAUGCCGCGUGUAUGAAGAAGGUCUUCGGAUUGUAAAGCACUUUAAGUUGGGAGGCGUUACCCACAGAAGAAGCACCGGCUAACUCCGUGCCAGCAGCCGCGGUAAUUC
rnacentral:rRNA from 1 species